rnacentral:rRNA from 1 species
AUUGGCUCAGAUUGAACGCUGGCGGCAGGCCUAACACAUGCAAGUCGAGCGGAAACGAGUUAUCUGAACCUUCGGGGGACGAUAACGGCGUCGAGCGGCGGACGGGUGAGUAAUGCCUGGGAAAUUGCCCUGAUGUGGGGGAUAACCGUUGGAAACGAUGGCUAAUACCGCAUAAUGCCUUCGGGCCAAAGAGGGGGACCUUCGGGCCUCUCGCGUCAGGAUAUGCCCAGGUGGGAUUAGCUAGUUGGUGAGGUAAUGGCUCACCAAGGCGACGAUCCCUAGCUGGUCUGAGAGGAUGAUCAGCCACACUGGAACUGAGACACGGUCCAGACUCCUACGGGAGGCAGCAGUGGGGAAUAUUGCACAAUGGGCGCAAGCCUGAUGCAGCCAUGCCGCGUGUAUGAAGAAGGCCUUCGGGUUGUAAAGUACUUUCAGUCGUGAGGAAGGUGGUGCAGUUAAUAGCUGUAUUACUUGACGUUAGCGACAGAAGAAGCACCGGCUAACUCCGUGC